rnacentral:lncRNA from 1 species
UGUAGAGAUAUUGAGUGAUAGUAUAGAUAGUUGUUAGAGAACAACUAAUACUGAGCAUAACCAUAUAAGAGAUCACAUAGAUUUCUAUCCAAUCAUCAAUGAUCAUCUCGAUACUAUAGUUGUGUAACUGGUCUUUUAACCUGUGGUGUCACAGUUGCUCACAGUAAGACUGCUGUAUUUUGAUUAGACAUAAGUAUUGACUUAAUUAUAAAUUUUUAUAGUGGAUGUUAGCUU